rnacentral:rRNA from 1 species
AUUGAACGCUGGCGGCAGGCCUAACACAUGCAAGUCGAGCGGAUGAGAGGAGCUUGCUUCUCGAUUCAGCGGCGGACGGGUGAGUAAUGCCUAGGAAUCUGCCUGGUAGUGGGGGACAACGUUUCGAAAGGAACGCUAAUACCGCAUACGUCCUACGGGAGAAAGCAGGGGACCUUCGGGCCUUGCGCUUUCAGAUGAGCCUAGGUCGGAUUAGCUAGUUGGUGAGGUAAUGGCUCACCAAGGCGACGAUCCGUAACUGGUCUGAGAGGAUGAUCAGUCACACUGAAACUGAGACACGGUCCAGACUCCUACGUGAGGCAGCAGUGGGGAAUAUUGGACAAUGGGCGAAAGCCUGAUCCAGCCAUGCCGCGUGUGUGAAGAAGGUCUUCGGAUUGUAAAGCACUUUAAGUUGGGAGGAAGGGUUGUAGAUUAAUACUCUGCAAUUUUGACGUUACCGACAGAAUAAGCACCGGCUAACUCUGUGCCAGCAGCCGCCGUAAUAC